rnacentral:lncRNA from 1 species
ACAGCCAUGGGAGAGAGCUUUUAAGCUGGUUUUGCACAAUUUCACUGCAUGUGAGUCUAUUUCUUGCCCUUUUCUUAUAUUUUUUGUAUUUUUAAGACUUUUGCAAUUAGGUCCAAUCAUCUAAUUCAUUAGUUUUUGAUUCGGUGGGUGAAAUUGGAAGUUACCCUGGCUGAGUAAGGGCAGUAUAUGAUGAAUUGUUAUGAAAUUUAAGUUCAAAUUUCAUAUUAAGGUUGUUUUAUUAAGUCAUUUUGAUAGAAAAUGGUAUUUAGGACCUAAUUGUGAAAAAGUUGUGAAUUAGAUGUUGAUGUUGAAAUUAAAAAUAUCAAAGGUUGUGAAUUAGUUUAUAAUGAUAAAAUAAAAGUGUUAAUUGAGAAAAAAAUUAGUUCAAUUGAUGGAUGAAUUGAGCAGGGACUAAAUUGUAAAAACUGUAAAUUUUAGGGUAAAAGUGAAAUUUUGAAAUUUGAACAGCAUAAAUUGUGAAGUGAGAUAGAAAUCAAAUAAAUGCUAAUGAGUAGAAAUAAUUUAUAUUAUAGAUCAAGAGAAACGAGAUUCAAAUCGUGAUCGAGGGAAAAAUAAAGUUUACGAGGAAUAGGCUCGAUUGCUAAUAUUUUAUAUCGAGGUAAGUUCAUAUGAUUUUUAAUAAUGCAAUGUGUAAUUUAAUGUUUUGAAAUGAAAAUUUCAUGAAUGAUAUAGUAUAUUAUUGCAUAUAAAAUGUCAUUAAACUGUGAUAAUUGUAAAAUGAUAUUUGAAUAAAAGUACAAAUUAAAUGGAACAACGGACUUGAGUACUUUCAUUCAGUGGCUAAGACGAAUUGACGGAAAAGACCAUGGUUGGACCAUGGCAGCAUGUGAAAUGUGAUUUUCGUAUAAGACCAUAGCUGGGCUACGGCUUCGGAGAAAUGUGAUAUGUGCUUCCGUAUAAGACCAUAUCCGGGAUAUGGCAUCGGUGUGAUAUGUGCUACUGUAUAAGACCAUAUCUGGGAUAUGGCAUCAGUGUGAUAUGUGAUCCGUGUAAGACCAUGGCUGGGCUAUGGCCCCGGUAUGUGAUAUGUGACUAUGUGCAAGACCAUAGUUUUACUAUGGCAUUGUGAUAAUGAGGUACUCAAUUCCAUAAUCGUUCCCUAAUUUGAUUAUGAACGAAAAUGUAAAAUGGCCCGAAAAGAUUAAGAAUUGGUGAAUACUAUGAAAAUGACACGAUUUGGAAUAAGUUCUUGAUACUUGAUGACAUUGAGAUUAUGGAUCUAUGCUUAUGAAGCAUAAUUAUGUGUUCUUACCAUGAUGGAUGAAAUGAUAUUGUAUGUAUUUAGUGAAUAAUAGUGGUGAAUGGAUAAAUAUGGCCUUGGCAGUUUUGGGUUACUGCAGUAGUGUAUCUUUUGAAAUUCACCAUAAAUUGUGGAAAUUGAGUUAAGGGCUGAAUAAAAUAUGAGAUUAAAUCCUGAUGAGUCAAGUUUCAUAUAGAGGAAACGGUGCAUGCAAUUGGAUUUUAUGUUAUAAGAUAUUUAAAUUGUUGUGAGACAGAGUUUGAAUGACUUCGAGAUCCCCUAUUCUGACUUUAGAAAAUCAUUAGAAAUUGUAAAAAAAAAUAAUUAUGAGUUUUAAUUUAUAUAUUUAAAAUCCUUAUCAAGUCUAUUUUCAAGAGGGAUAGACGGGAACAUCAUCCAAGUCCCGAAUUAUGAGAUAAAUAAUUUUUAGUGAAGAGAGAUCAGAACUGUUAGACAGAGAAACAGAGGAAACUUUAAUGAAUAAACUGUACUAAAUGGCUAAACCAAAAAUUCUGGAAAUUUUAUGGGAGAAAGGUAUAUGAAUCUAGUUUCAAAGAAAAUUAACAGAACUUAAUUUGAAGUUUCGUAGCUCCAGAAAUAAAUUAUUUAGUAAAUGUAUCUCGAUAAAACAGUUUAAGCUGAGUAUGUAUAAUUGUACAAUUGUGGUGUUUUAUCUUAAAAGCAUGUUGGUAAUUGCUUAUUAAUUUCAUAUGGACUUACUAAGCAUUUAUGCUUACUCCCUCCUUUUCAUUCCUUAUAGUUUUGACAAGCCAGCUCGAAAAUCGGGAACGGUCGGAGGCCCACUCACACUAUCCGUAUACCAUCUUGGCAUAAUGGCUUGUAUAUUUUGAGUAUGACAUGUAUAGCAUUAUAAUCAUUUUGUAUAUAUGGUCUUAUGAUAUGGAUAUUGAGUGGUAUGGAAAUGCUUGGUAAUGAUUAGCCAUUGGAAUGGCUAAUCAUGAUCAUAUUUGGUGUUAUGUAUGCUAAAUUGCUAGCUAAUCCAUGGAAACCAUGAAAUAGGCAAAAUUUACCAUAAAAUAGAUUCAAAUGUGAGUUUGAAAAAUCAUUAAAAAUAGUAGAGAUACAAUUAGAUGAUAAAUAAAAUAUAUAAUUGAAGAAUUAUUAGUCUAUCUUCAUAUGGAUGGAACAAAACAGG